UACGGGGGAGCAAGCGUUGUUCGGAUUUACUGGGCGUAAAGGGCGCGUAGGCGGCCACCGCAAGUCGACUGUGAAAUCUCUGGGCUUAACCCAGAACGGUCAGCGAUACUGCGGGCUAGAGUGCAGAAGGGGCAACUGGAAUUCUCGGUGGUAGCGGUGAAAUGCGUAGAGUAUCGAGAGGAACACCUGCGGCGAAGGCGGGUUGCUGGGCUGACACUGACGCUGAGGCGCGAAAGCUAGGGAGCAAACGGG
rnacentral:rRNA from 1 species